GCCUGGGUGGCUCAGUCGGUUGAGCGUCGGACUUCGGCUCAGGUCACGAUCUCGCGGUCCGUGAGUUCGAGACCCACCUCGGGCU
rfam:Felis catus isolate Cinnamon breed Abyssinian chromosome D4, whole genome shotgun sequence.